AUGAAGAGAGAGUUAUACCAUUUUUGGUAUUAUAUAAUGAAUUUAUUUUACAUGCUAUAUGAGAUAUUAUGUGCCUGCUGUGAAUCUAGCACUAAGCAAGGCUUUAAGGAUAAAAGUAUUGAAAAAAUUAAAACUUCUGUUUCCUUUCCUGUAUUGGGAAAAAUAAGCAAGUGUGCAGUGGGACAACAUGGGCCAUCCUGUGCAGGGGAAGAACAGAAGCACAGACUUCAGGGCAGCAGCAGUGGGAGAAGCCUACAAGGGAAGGGGUCCAAUCUGAAGAUUCCGAGAUGGGGAAAUUACUUCAUCUCACUUUGCAAAAUGACAGGGGAUGUCUUAUGAAAAUCUAUUUACAGUAUACAUUCUCAGCCCCAUCACCGUGAAGCAGCAGCACACCUCCUCUGGAGGAUUUCACACCUUGGUAAUUCAUUAUAUCACAGGUUCCUCUUGGUGUGAAAUUCCUCUGAUUAAGAAGAGCUGACAGAGGCAGGAGAAUGAAGUAAUUCUCUUUUCCUCCCCUCUAAACAAGUCAUACUUGAUAUUUCUUCAAGGUCAAAUUGAAUUGAAAAUAGGCAAGGGUGAUAUCUUCUUAGAUUUGUACUAAUAACUGGGUGUUCUCAGCAGAAGCCUUUUGGCAGAACAGCAAAGUUAACUUAUCAAGGUGCUUAAGAAUGCAAAAUUGCCUGCCAGACAUGAGAUCUAAAAGUUUCAGGGCCCAUCAUACAUAGAUUUCUUAGGCUUUUCUGCUCAUAAGAAUGAGCCUGAUGCUAGAAUAGUAAUUCCUCUAUAAGCAUUAUUUCAGAUGCAGAGUUAAAAUGUUCUUCCCAUGGUUUUAUUUGUAAUUUUAAUUUUAGGCAUUGCCUUCCAACUGGCUUCAGAAUAUAUCAGAAAAACUAUGACAUAGGCCAAUGCUCUUAAUCUUUUUGGUAAUUAUCUGAGUGACAUCUUGGAAUUUAUAUUCAAAAGACCAAGCGACUCCUCCAUUAACUUUCCUCGACUAAACCUUCAAUCAUUCUAGUUGGCUGUUGUGACCUCUUUCUCACAGCCUUAAAGACUUGGAAAAUGGGUUUUGGUUGUCUGUAGAUGCAAGAGAAUACAUAUGGACUCACUUUAAUUCAUAGAUAUCAAAGAGAUGCUUAUAUUUCCAGAACAGGUAGUGAUAAUCAAAGAGCAUCAUUAAGCAUUUGAUUUAAGCCCAACUAUAUCCACCCUUUCUUAGAGAUUUGUGGUCUUGGAUGUGUUUAUUAACCUUUCCAAGCCUUAACUUCCUAACCAGGACAAUAGGGGAAGAGUAGUUUUUACUUCAUGAGAUACUUGUGAAGAUUAAUUGAGAUGAGAUGUGGACAGCAUAUAAACCAGUGGUUGGCACCUAGUGAGCCAUAAAUAGGAGGCAGUUAUUUUUUAAUUUCUUCACAUGUCAGAGAGAAAAAUGAUAAGAGGCUCUCGAGCUUUAAAAGAAGUAUUUAAAGAUUUUUUUUUCUGUCUUUAUAGUACCAGGCUGUUUUGUAAUUUGGAAUCAACUGCCUUUUAUAAUAAAUUCAGCAACAAACCCUAUGAAUGCA
ensembl:lncRNA